GCGAACUGUGGGCCUGAGGCCGAGGUAAGUAUGAGGUGGCAAGCGUUAAUCGGAAGUAGUUGGCGUAAAGGGCGCGGAGGCGGUUGUGUAAGUCAGGUGUGGAAGCCCCGAGCUCAACUUGGGAACUGCAUCUGAGACUGGGAGACUAGAGGACUGGAGAGGGUGGUAGAAUUCCACGUGUAGCGGUGAAAUGCGUAGAGAUGUGGAGGAAUACCAGUGGCGAAGGCGGCCACCUGGACAGUGACUGACGCUGAGGCGCGAAAGUGUGGGUAGCAAACAGGAUUAGAUACCCCAGUAGUC
rnacentral:rRNA from 1 species